CUCUUCCUCUUCUCUUCUGUUUUCAUUUCAUUUUUCUUCUCUUUUUGACCUAAGGGCUGUGGCAGCGCCUCUCACUCCCGAUCUCACCUCAGAUCUUCAAUCGACCUUAGAAAUUUCGGCGACAGCAUCUGUGUCGCUCCUUCAUCGCUCUCACGAUCUCUCGUCUGCCAGGCAUCAUCCCUUCUCUCUCUCUCUCUCUCUCUCUCUCUCGAUCGAUCGAUCGAUCGAUCGAGUCGACCUAAACCUAACCCACAUCACCCCUCUCUGUUUCAGGCAUGCACAGCACAUUGCACUCUUGAGACAGCCGCCACAACCCCACUCUGUUUCCAUAGAUAGCCAAACAAAGCCCCACUCGGUUCACUGUCAAUCCCAGCCCCAACCGGUUCAAGCAGCCAACAUUUCCAUCGAAGCAAGCCAUUGUUGAUUGUUCCCACUCCCACAUGUAGAGCUCCCUUAACUGAUACAAUCGUACAAGUGAAUCUGUUUGGUAUUUAAAAUCUAAUUAGGUGUUUUACUUGUAUUUUUUUUCAUGGGUUGUAAUAUAAUUUGUUGCUUUGCUUGUAUUUUUUGUCAUGGGAGGUAAGAAACAACUAAUUUGAUGGUUGGAUGAUGCUUGUGAUUGUGAUUUAGUUUAGAAACUUUAAAAAA